rnacentral:rRNA from 1 species
AGAGUUUGAUCCUGGCUCAGAAUGAACGCUGGCGGCAUGGAUUAGGCAUGCAAGUCGAGCGGUGACCUUCGGGUCACGAGCGGCGAAAGGGUGAGUAACGCGUGAGCAACCUGCCUCUUGGCUGGGGAUAGCCCCGGGAAACCGGGAUUAAUACCGAAUGAGGCCCCGAACCUUAUGGUGAGGCGGCCAAAGGAGCAAUCCGCCGAGAGAUGGGCUCGCGCCCUAUCAGCUUGUUGGUGAGGUAACGGCUCACCAAGGCUUCGACAGGUAGCUGGUCUGAGAGGACGAUCAGCCACACUGGGACUGAGACACUGCCCAGACUCCUACGGGAGGCUGCAGUCGAGAAUCUUCCGCAAUGCGCGAAAGCGUGACGGAGCGAUGCCGCGUGUGGGAUGAAGGCCUUCGGGUUGUAAACCACUGUCACCCGGGACGACUAAAAGACGGUACCGGGAGAGGAAGCCACGGCUAACUACGUGCCAGCAGCCGCGGUAAUACGUAGGUGGCGAGCGUUAUUCGGAUUUAUUGGGCGUAAAGGGUUCGUAGGGGGUCGGUCAAGUUCGAUGUGAAAGCCCGCAGCUCAACUGCGGAACGGCAUUGGAGACUGAUCGACUCGAGGGCUGGAGAGGAAAACGGAAUUCCUGGUGUAGCGGUGGAAUGCGUAGAUAUCAGGAGGAACGCCGAUAGCGAAGGCAGUUUUCUGGACAGCACCUGACCCUGAGGAACGAAAGCCGGGGGAGCGAACAGGAUUAGAUACCCUGGUAGUCCCGGCCGUAAACGUUGUAGACUCGGCGUGGGGGGAUUCGGUCCCUUCCGUGCCCAAGCAAACGCGUUAAGUCUACCGCCUGGGGAGUACGGCGGCAACGCUAAAACUCAAAGGAAUUGACGGGGGCCCGCACAAGCGGUGGAGCAUGUGGCUUAAUUCGAGGCUACGCGAAGAACCUUACCUGGGUUUGACAUGAGACAGACCGCCGGCGAAAGUCGGUUUCCCUUCGGGGCUGUCCCACAGAUGCUGCAUGGCUGUCGUCAGCUCGUGUCGUGAGAUGUUCGGUUAAGUCCGGCAACGAGCGCAACCCAUGUCGCCAGUUACCAGCAAGUGAUGUUGGGGACUCUGGCGAGACUGCCCGUGUCAAGCGGGAGGAAGGCGUGGACGACGUCAAGUCCGUAUGGCUCUUACAUCCAGGGCUGCACACGUGCUACAAUGACCGGUACAGAAGGCAGCGACAUCGCGAGAUGUAGCAAAUCCCGAAAACCGGCCCCAGUUCGGAUUGGAGUCUGCAACUCGACUCCAUGAAGUUGGAAUCGCUAGUAAAGGCGUAUCAGCAACGACGCCUUGAAUACGUUCCCGGGCCUUGUACACACCGCCCGUCACAUCACGGAAGUCGGCUGUUCCCGAAGUCGUCGACCCAACCCCUCGGGGAGGGAGACGCCGAAGGAGUGUCCGGUAACUGGGAUGAAGUCGAAACAAGGUA